AUUCUAAGAAGCCUAUCCUUGCCUGGGUUAGGUCAAGCCUCUUGUAUGCUGACAUGCAACAACUGUAUAGACAUCCAUAGAAGUGAAAUUAAAAUCUUGAGACAUCUCUUCUGGCCCCAGUGGAAACAGGUAACAGGGCUUAAUUUGCACCACCUGAAGCAAGCUGAGGACAAAGGUGAAAGUAUGGAGAGAGGAAACAAACUUGCAAAUUUUAAAAGCAGCUAAAAAUGGAACAACAGCUCUCCAUAUUUGCUGGAGUUAGGGAGAAAGGACCCUCCCCACCCCCACAAGAAUAUGAAAAACCGCAAAUAAAAAGUGGUAAAUUU